AGAUUUGAUCAUGGCUCAGGACGAACGCUGGCGGGUGCCUAACACAUGCAAGUCGUACGAGGGCAGUCCUUCGGGACUGACCCGAGUGGCGGACGGGUGAGUAACACGUGACCAAUCUGCCUUGGAGAGGGGGAUAACCUGGGGGAACUCGGGCUAAUACCGCAUGAAGUGUCGUGCUCGCAUGGGCGUGACACCAAAGGGAGGCCUCUACUUGUAAGCUUCCGCUCUGAGAGGAGGUCGCGACGUAUCAGCUAGUUGGUAGGGUAACGGCCUACCAAGGCUUCGACGCGUAGCGGGUCUGAGAGGACGACCGUCACAUUGGGACUGAGAUACGGCCCAGACUCCUACAGGAGGCAGCAGUGGGGAAUAUUGCGCAAUGGUCGAAAGACUGACGCAGCGACGCCGCGUGUGGGAGGAAGCCCUUCGGGGUGUAAACCACUGUCGGGAGGGACGAACGGCGGACGGGCGAAUAGCCCGGACGAUUGACGGUACCUCCAAAGGAAGCACCGGCUAACCCUGUGCCAGCAGCCGCGGUAAUACAGGGGUGCAAGCGUUGUUCGGAAUUACUGGGCGUAAGCGCGGGCAGGUGGCCUUUUAAGUCCUUUGUGAAAUCCCGGGGCUCAACUCCGGAUGUGCAUAGGAUACUGGAAGGCUAAGACUGGUAAGGCGAGCGGAAUUCCUGGUGUAGCGGUGGAUGCGUAGAUAUCAGAAGACACGGUGG
rnacentral:rRNA from 1 species